CGGGCGGUCUGGGGCUGGCAGCGUCUGCCUCCCGUGAGGACCCCACGGGGAAGGCGCCACGUGGUGGUCUGGCGUCUGGUGCAUCGGCGGGUGGCACGGAGCGUGCACCCGAGCCUGCUGGAGGCCUGCGCCCGCGCGGCGGGACAAGGAGCGGGGCCGUGCAGGGGGACGGGCUCGUCACGUACCUUCGAUGAGAAGCGUAGUUGCCGGUGAUGUGCCCAGAGCCGUCGCAGCCGGGGGUCGGGCACCUGCAAACACAAAUGCAGAUCGGCCAGUUGACUUGAGAGAAAUCGACCCCCUCAACACGUCACGCCCUUACUCAUCCAGAAAGCAUACUCUCAAUGCUUCACCUCCCUACCAGAGAGAGACGAGCGGAACAGGAAGCCCCGCGGCGGGGAGCGGGCACCUGUGCCCACCUAGCGCACCACCAGAUACCAACCUUGGCCACCUUCUUCCUUCCAAGCACAAGGACGCUUUCCGGAGCAUCAGGCCCUCGGUACCUGCCUCGCUCACAACACCCCCUCGGGCUUGGGCUCGAGGCUGUUGAGUCCAGAGACUCUGACCCCUGCAGACACCCCCCGCCUGCUUCCCUCCUGCUCAUGUGAGCCUCGGGGAGGGAGGGGUCGGUGGGACUCAGCCACAGCAGUCGUCCACGAAGCAAGCUUCGUACACGGCGGACGUGCGCAGGGACUGCUCUUUGUCUACACUUGAAACACCGGCACUAAAUCGGGCUCCCAUUAAAGCUGGGCCACCUGGCUGACCCGAGUCCAGUGAGGGCGGUGCCUGGGCCUGAGCCGUGGGGACUCCAUGAGAGCGUCAGGCCACCUCGAGUUGCCUUAAAGCCCCGUGACCUUAACCGACCCGCACGGAGCCCGGAUCUCUUGGUCCAGCAGUCCCCAUCAGCCCAGACCCUAGAGUCCUUCUGGGACCUGCACCGGCUCUGUGUCGGCCUGCGCUACGGGACACGGCGUUCUUUAAGAACGGUUUCGUCAUCACUGCCCUUCCUAUGACGUCCUAAGUGCACUGUCUCAAGGAAAGUCAGGUGCACUGCAGACACCUUGCAUCUCAAGCUACUCUGGUUGCCAUGUGGCCACCGGGACUGUAAAAAACAAGGACAAAAAUUAAGAAAAAAUUCUUCUUUCUAUCCAGAUAGCUUGUAACUCUCAAAAACAACAAGGAUGAAGGGACUUAGUAAGAACAUCACGCCUGGGUCAGCCCUGUGCCUCACCCCCACUCCGUGAGCACCCGAGUGCCUGGUAAGGACAAAAAUCACAAACUUCAAGUAUUUAACCAGUGUCUGCUGCUUCUGAGGGGUUUCACGUGGCUUUCCGCUCAGAGUCACCGGGGACACCGGAUGCUGAGACGGGGCCAGCAAGUGACUUGUCUGGAGCAGGACGCGGUGGCCCCGCUGCCCCCCCAGCACCGCCGGAUGCCGGCGGAGACGGCGGUGGGUGUCACAAGCCAACACUCGGUGUCUGUCUACAUCUCCUUCAGUCCUAAGAGAGGGGUCCGUCCUGGCUCUCACGGUGCGCUAACGGCUAUUUGCCGUGUCAUGUUACAGGUUAAAGUUCCGUUUACGGCCCCUGCUGUGAGAGCUUAAAGAGGCAAACGGAUCACGUUUGCCACGUCGCUGGUGUGGACACUCGGAACCAGGAGUUUUAAUAUAUGCGCUUGUGGUGGAACAAUGAAGUGUGUGCAGAAUCUGUGUGUCGAGAACCACCACCGAAAUCUGACUGUUGACCUGAGUUUUGUUAGAGCGACAGCUGUUUGUGUGCAAUUAAAGUCUGAUCGCGAGGCUAUUCUGCCAAUGGAUCUAAGACGGCAAAGAGACCUGCGAGCCCGAACCUCCCAGAAUGCCCUGUGCUCAUGGCUGCACUGAGCUAUGUACACCAAAACAAACAUUCUGUUUGGAUCUACACAGGAACUAUCACUGAUCACAGCCACAAUGGGGGUCAUAGGAUGUAUGCCCUAAUGUCAAAGCACAACUUAAUGUCUCUCCAUUAAAAUACAUAGUCCUGGACACCAUAAGACUUUGCACUGGCACACGUCCCAGGAAUGUCACAGCCUCGUGUCUGCCCUGAUCUGUCCCUCCGCGAGACACACACCUGUUACAGUGUCGUCUUCCCGCCCAUCUAAAACCCCUGUCCUGAGACCGGGUGGGAGCAAUGGAACUCAUCAAACCCACGACUGAAGUGUCGAUUCGUUAUUGUUAAACGGAUGCCUGCAUCAGAGUGCAUGUUACUACACGUUGUGAUCUGAGACUGGUGAACCGCUGUGGCUUCUGCCCCCCUGGUGACACGUCAGUGAGGUGCAGGGCGGGUUCCACGCACACGAGCAUUUCUUCCUGGGGACCCCAAGGUGCUGCCCAGGCGCCCUUGCCGGGUAGCAGGUGGCUAAGCCCCUGACCCCACAGGGCCAGCCCC